rnacentral:sRNA from 1 species
GCCGGGCAUGGUGGCGCACGCCUGUAAUCCCAGCUACUCAGGAGGCUGAGGCAGGAGAAUUGCUUGAACCCGGGAGACGGAGGUUGCAGUGAGGCAAGAUCGCACCAUUGCACUCCAGCCUGGGUGACAGAGCGAGAUUCCGUCUCAA